rnacentral:rRNA from 1 species
AGGACGAACGCUGGCGGCGUGCUUAACACAUGCAAGUCGAGCGGUAAGGCUCCUUCGGGAGUACACGAGCGGCGAACGGGUGAGUAACACGUGAGCAAUCUGCCCUUCACACUGGGAUAACCCCGGGAAACCGGGGCUAAUACCGGAUGCGACCACCGGCGGCAUCGUCUGGUGGUGGAAAGUUCCGGCGGUGGAGGAUGAGCUCGCGGCCUAUCAGCUUGUUGGUGGGGUAAUGGCCUACCAAGGCUUCGACGGGUAGCCGGCCUGAGAGGGUGACCGGCCACACUGGGACUGAGACACGGCCCCAGACUCCUACGGGAGGCAGCAGUGGGGAAUAUUGGACAAGUGGGCGAAAGCCUGAUCCAGCAACGCCGCGUGAGGGAUGACGGCCUUCGGGUUGUAAACCUCUUUCAGCAGGACGAAGCGAAGUGACGGUACCUGCAGAAGAAGCACCGGCCAACUACGUGCCAGCAGCCGC